rnacentral:lncRNA from 1 species
CUCUAAGUCCACGUGAAAUUUUGUUUGAACGAUGCCAACAAUGCACUUUUGGUGAAUCAAGUUAUGUCCAACACAUAGUCAUAUUCCUCACUUAGUCUUCUAAAUCAUUCCAAGGCAAAUAUUAUUUUUCUUCUAUAAUUUACAUUGUUGAUUUUCUUAGGUGUGAUUCUUAUUUUUCUCUGUUAUUUUUGUUUUCAUACUUAGAAAAUCUGAAGAUGAAGGAUCAAAUUAAGACAAUGGAAAGGAAGGAGCAAUGAUCAAUAUCCUCAAGACAAUGGAAAAGAAAGAGCAUGGAAUGAAGAAAAAUCUGUUUCAUAUACCACUUCAACAUGAAGAACUCAUAGCUUGGUCAUGAUCUAAGUUCAUAUAAUUUUUUUUUUCUUUUGUAAAAUAGCUAAUGAUCUUCACGAAGUACUAAUGAUCGAGUCUGCAUUGAUUGAUUUGUAUUCAUGAUU